AUUGAACGCUGGCGGCAUGCCUUACACAUGCAAGUCGAACGGCAGCACGGGGCAACCCUGGUGGCGAGUGGCGAACGGGUGAGUAAUACAUCGGAACGUAUCCUGUUGUGGGGAUAACUAGUCGAAAGAUUAGCUAAUACCGCAUGACCUCGGAAGAGAAAAGCAGGGGACCGGAGACGGCCUUGCGCGAUUGGAGCGGCCGAUGUCCGAUUAGCUAGUUGGUGGGGAAAGCCUACCAAGGCGACGAUCGGUAGCUGGUCUGAGAGGAUGAUCAAGCCACACUGGGACUGAGACACGGCCCAGACUCCUACGGAGGCAGCAGUGGGGAAUUUUGGACAAUGGGGCAACCCUGAUCCANCCAUGCCGCGUGAGUGAAUGAAGGCC
rnacentral:rRNA from 1 species